UGUUUGCUUUUUUGUUUCUUUGGUGGGUUGGUUUUUUGUGCAACAAUGUGACACUGUUGACUGGUGAUCAACAGUGGUCUUCUUGUUUCAUCUUCGAAUUCUAGAAGGUUUUUGGAUACCAUGGUGAUGAAUAUCAUAUAAGAACCUAAAACAGAACAGAAGAAAAUGUAGUAUGUAGCAGGCAGGUGAAAAACUUCUCAGCCUGCUCAGCCAGCUAAGCUAUCUUAUUUAGGGCAGUGAAAUUCACCCCAGUAAGGCAAAGGUCUUUCUUACUAGUUACACCCCAUUCAGAUGCUUUACAUGGGGCUUAUCCUUAUGUAGUGCAUUGAGUCUCAUGCAAGCUCUAUACACUGAGGGAAAAUUAUACUCAGAGGAACCGGAGCUGUUACAACACUACUCUUUACCAACCAAUGCAACUAGACAGGAUUCAUGAGUGAAAGCAAAAAGAGUGAAAAGGAUUUCAUGAACACAAAUAUUGUAUUCAUGUCAAUAUUAUGGACACAAUAUUGGUGUUUAGUUUACUGUUUAUCUACUACAGCUUCAGCCCAAAAGAUCUCAGAGAUUAUGACUGCAGUGUGGAAAAUUCUUCAGAAGUACGGUCUGAAAACACAAGGAGCAUGAACAUCUUACUGCAAGGUAGGGAAGUUAGUUGGAAUAGCAAGAGUCUGAAAAAACACUGACAAAAGAGGAGCUAAGCAGAAACCAUUUAGUCGUCACCACUUUGCAAUGCUCUGAUCUGCUUGGCUCCAUACAAGUAAAUCUCCUUUACUCACAGAAGAUGUUUGUAAAAACACUAUAUAAACCAAACAUUAAAUGUACCCUCCAAAGCCUGAAAAUCAUCAUGGAUCCAAAGGAAAGCAUUUCUACUGGCCACAGCUGUCUUUUAACAACAGAGGUUUAUAAACAAAGGUUUCUGACUGAACUUAACCUUACAGGCAAAGUGUUUCUGGUUGGGAUAUCAAAUUGCAUUAUUAAGGCAAAACGGUUGGAGCUUGACAUUUCUGCAAAGCAACUGUAUGCCACAGCUGUAAGCCAACAGAACAGCAGCUCAGGCAUAGAGGAAGACAAGAUGCUCAGACAAAGACAAAGACAAAGCAUCUAUUUCAAAGCAGCAAUUACAUGCAUCCUGCUACCUUGUGCACUAGCCUUCAUUGUGUUUGUCAUAUUUGAAGUUCCCAUUCCACGUCCAUGCCUUCGUUGGAGCCGGCGAUGCAACUGUAUUCAGAAAUGUAAACGGCAAGAAAGAGAAAGCACAGACAUCCCAAAUUCUGUAUCAUCUUAAGGACGUGUCAUGAUGAAUGGCUGAAGGCAACAUUUGAAGCCUGCAAAAGAGAACACACUUCAUUUCAAAAUCUUGUGUAAAUAAUUAAAUGCCAAAGAUCUGCAAAAAAUGAAUAAAAGUGGCCUUCUAACCUAACUGCGAAAAGAACACUUCCUCUAAGCAAUCUAGAUUCUGUCUUUCUAAAUCAGCAUCACCCAUCCUCCAUGGGGAAAUACAAAAUUUCAGACAAAAUUAACAUCACAAGAGGCAUAAAAACAUGUCACAUUUGAAUAGUGACAAUAACUUUUUUUUAGGAAGUUUUGGUUGUUUGGAAGAGGCAAUUGCUACUAGCUACAAUACCAAUCUUACAGAAAAUAGGUGGACACCUCUGCAGAGCUUACUGCAUGACCAGAACAUAACAAUAUAUUUGAAAGCAUGAAAUAUUAUUUAGAAUAAUCAGUGCAUACAUAUGUGUAUAUAAAAAUCUGUACAAAUUUGCCUUAAUCUCCGCGAGACCUUCGGACAUCAGAUGCAGUCAUAAUAAAUAAAAAUGUAUUUGACUGACCCAGAAGAGCGAUGCUGCAGUAAACACGCCCAAAGUGAUCCUGGUGUUACGCCACUAGAAUAUUACUGUGCUACAGGGGAUAAAUUAUGAAAUUUCUGGCACAUGUGUAACCAUAUUCUACAGGGAGUCUCAGCUGUGUCAUUUCUAAAUCCCAGGUCUUUCUGCAAAACAAGAUUCACUGACUCCAUUCAAAUCCCUCUCAGUGCCCCCAAUAGCCCCCUCCACAACACAGAUAACAUAGUUGUCAAGUGAGUACAAGAUGACCAGAAUGUAACAAACACAGCAUUAGGAAGCAGUCAGGGAAAGAUCACAAAGGCUCUAGACUGCACAUGGAUGGGAACGGUGCAGGGAGGAACCUGGGAAUUCAUCAAUUUAGGAAGCUUAUUUAUGGACUACUACAGAAAGUGGAGAUUAAACUCCUCCAUUGUAUAUUUCCACUGAAUUUAGCAGUGUCACACCAUGAAAGAUUUUGUUCCAGAGAACGGAGGUUAGUCAUAAAUGUAUUUGUAUUAUACAAACUGUAUUAUAUAACUAGGAAAAUGAACUAUAAAUGCAUUGAAAAACAUUUGGGAAAGUUCUGGAACUGACAGGAGUUUUAUUAUACAUGAUGUGGAAUUUCCAAAUUCCAAAAGGAAUCAGUUUCAAACAGCAAAUGCAAUAAAUUGUGCUGAGCAGAGAGCAGGACUAGAACUACUCACAAUCUCUAUUUCUCAUCUUCAUCUCAAACCUUUGGAUCACUGCCUGCCACCUACAUAUCCACCUUCAUGUCAUCCUUAUAUCCUGUCUCAUUCCUCACUCUUCUUCCUAGCCUAUUCUCACUCUCCAUCAUGCACCUUCUUCUGUACCAAGACUCAUAACUGUCAUCCAUGUCACCUUACUAGAUCACUUAUGAAAAGUCCUGGCAGAGUCUAUCAUGAAAGGGUGAUGUACUGGUGUUUAGUAUAUUUGCAGGAACUGUGUGUUAUUUUCAGCUAAACGGAUAAUAGAAUGACUAUUACCAAUGGAAAACAGACGCCAGUCCAUGGAAAACAUUAAUUACUUGUUAUUCCACUGACACAAAGAUACACAGGUUUUGGAAAGGAUCAUUGUUUUUUGGUUUGGAAGAUUUCAUUAAAACAAACAUUUUCUUCUUACCAAAGUUUAUGGGCUAUCCUCUCCCCCUUUUGAUAUCUGAGCAUCCAUAUCAUUCUUUCUAGCACACAUACUGCUUUGUGCAUUCCUCUGACCCUUACAGCAACAUAACAUUCUGCAGAUAUUAAUGCUGCCUGUAAUACGUAAGCCUUUAUGAUUUAGGGAAAAACCUCCCAAAUGUUAUUUAAUCUAGCUCUAUCUUCUAAAGUCUGUGAUAUACUUGCUCUCAGAUAUGUAAACUCAUAUUACUAGGAAGUCAAAAGGUGACAAUAUAAGUAUCAGCUUACUUAAUUAAGAGCCCUGUCUACAUGAGAACUACAUCAAUGUAAUUACAUGGAUGCAAACCCCUACUGUAAGUGGUUAUCAUCAAGUUCCAUUCAUUACAAUGGAAACAGGAGACUCAUGUAUGGUCAUUUAUGCUACAAAUAUAGACAGUUAAGUAAAGUGGUUGCAACAAAGCAGUACACAGAUUCUAACCCAGAUUCAAAAUUGUGCCAACAUGUAGUACAGAUAGGAUCUUAUCCCUAUUUUAUAACAUGGCUAAAUAAUGGCCAUGUGUCACGUGUCUGCUGUUUUUACAGAUUAUUCCUCAGAUAGAUGUACUAGGAAGUAAAAUUAGAGCUGAGAACCAGGCCAAACUAAUUUAUCUGCCAGACAGAAUUCAGAGUAAUUUAGUUGAGUGAAUGCAGAAUAAAAAUUAAAUAAAGGGCAAGCAUUUAAAUGUUUCACUUGUAACAUGGAUGUGACAAAGUGGGGGUUCCAUUCGCUCUGUCCGCUUUAUGUUGCAUGUGAUUUCUGUUGUCCUGCACUGUAGUAACUUUGUGUGUGGAUCUGUUUCCCUGGGCAUAGCACCAGUGCCAAAUUGGAGAUGGGAAUUUUGGGUGUGACUCUCACUGAGGGGAGGCUGACCAGGCUAGCACGGUCACAAUGGCCCAGGUUCACUGUAAGGUGAGCCUGGAAGGGAGAUGCAAACAGGUGACACCUUAAGCUCAGGAAGCUGAACAAAGGAAGAAGUGGGGCUGCCUAUAAAGCUGGGUCGGGCUGCGGAGUGAGUUAGUCUCCGCUGGCUUAAGAUACGGGGGAGGGCCCUGGCUCCAGGCCCCCCUUUUCCUCAAGGCGGAUUGUACUGUCUGCUUUUGGUUCCUGUACUAACAAAUAUGUUUUACCUUGUAUCCCUGAGAACUAAUGAACCUUCUGUUCUACCUGCUGCCUGAGAGUCACACCUGGCUGCAGAUGAGCGUGCAGGGACCCCCAUGUUGCAAAAAUAAAUAUAAACAAUAGCCUUCAAAUUAAUAUAAAUUGAAGCUCUCCUGCCAAUGAAGAGACCCAAGUAAAUCUGAACUCUUUAUGUAUUGCCAAGGCUGCAGCACAGAGGGGGAGGGAGACUGACCAGACCCCAGUUUCAUUAUUUAACAGUGCUAGCAAGGAGGAAACUAUUUACCCAUAAUUAUUAUUCUGCAGCUUUGCAGGAACUACACGUUGCCAAAGUCCAGAGACGAACCUUGGUGCCUGCAGAUGGUUUUCAGGCAUACUUCUAAACACAGCCUAAAGGGUGCC